AUUGAACGCUGGCGGCAGGCCUAACACAUGCAAGUCGAGCGGAUGACGGGAGCUUGCUCCUUGAUUCAGCGGCGGACGGGUGAGUAAUGCCUAGGAAUCUGCCUGGUAGUGGGGGACAACGUUUCGAAAGGAACGCUAAUACCGCAUACGUCCUACGGGAGAAAGCAGGGGACCCUCGGGCCUUGCGCUAUCAGAUGAGCCUAGGUCGGAUUAGCUAGUUGGUGGGGUAAUGGCUCACCAAGGCGACGAUCCGUAACUGGUCUGAGAGGAUGAGCAUUCACACGGGAACUGAGACACGGUCCAGACUCCUACGGGAGGCAGCAGUGGGGAAUAUUGGACAGUGGGCGAAAGCCUGAUCCAGCCAUGCCGCGUGUGGGAAGACGGUCUUCGGAUUGUAAAGCACUUUAAGUUGAGAGGAAGGGCAGUAAGUUAAUACCUUGCUGUUUUGACGUUACCGACAGAAUAAGCACCGGCUAGCUCUGUGCCAGCAGCCGCGGUAAGAC
rnacentral:rRNA from 1 species